UACGUAGGGUGCGAGCGUUAAUCGGAAUUACUGGGCGUAAAGCGUGCGCAGGCGGUUUUGUAAGCCAGAUGUGAAAUCCCCGGGCUCAACCUGGGAAUGGCAUUUGGGACUGCAAGGCUGGAGUGCGGCAGAGGAGACUGGAAUUCCUGGUGUAGCAGUGAAAUGCGCAGAUAUCAGGAGGAACACCGGUGGCGAAGGCGGGUCUCUGGGCCGAUACUGACGCUGAGGAGCGAAAGCGUGGGGGGCGAACAGG
rnacentral:rRNA from 1 species